AUUUUUUGAAUUUUUGGAGUUCUUGCGUGUUUGGGAAAGUUAACUUAUUUUUGGAUAUUCUCCAUUAUUGAUUGUGAAUCUGUUACGAAUUGCAGUGCCUUUUUUUUUUUGGGGUGAUACAUUAGGGACUUUUUUUAUGUUGAAGGAUGGGUUUGGAUCAGUUUUUUAGAUAUUGAUUUAGAAUUGAUUUGGGGUUUUGGGAGCUUUGUCGAAUGUUCUUUUGGGUGAUAUACAUCCGAGAGUUCAUGAAAGUAAGUUUUAUCUGAUUUUUGUUAAUAUGGGGUUGCUCAACCUCCUCGGGAGGUAGUGAAUGUAUCAUCAUUUCUCAUAUUUGUGGUGCCCCAUGAUUUGGGUAGGAAAAGAGGGUGGGUAGUUUUGUUACAAACCUUUGUCUAAGCUAUAAAAAUUUUCUCAAAGGAAACCUUCUCUAGCUGCUGUGAUUUUGGGAUUUUGGUAGCUCUAGCUGCUGUGAAAUAUUUAAUUCACAUCUAAUCAAAUAAAUGCACACUGAGGAGGGCAGUAAUCUCUGGUAGUUUGGAGGAAGGGAAAAGAACUUAGAAAUUAACCUAGUAGCAUCAUUGAUGGUACUUAUAUUUUGCAAAAUGGAACCAAAUAUGUGCAUACCCAUGUGUGAAUAAUAUCUAUCAUAUACGUUGACUGGGAUUUUUGGCUAUUCUGUUUUGCUUUGCAGCCUUAAGUUUUGGUAUCAUGGCUUUAAUUGGAACCUUAUUGUAGAUGGUUCUUAACUUUGUUAUCAUUUACUGUUGCUUUCAGUCAUAUAUAGAGGUUUGAUUUUGUUAUACAGAGUGAGUGCAGGGUGGUUUUUUUGGGUAGCAGAUGUAGCUUUCUUUUUGUCAAUUUAAUAAGCAAUAGAAUAAUAUAUAUAUAUAUAUAUAAUUAAUUCGACUGAGAGAAAGGAGAAUAGGUAAAUGCCAUAUAAAAAGGCAACUACCAUUCAUGUUUCUACCUCAAUCUCUAUGGAUUUGUACCCAAAGUUGCCAAAAGAAGAUGGAGUUCUUGUGGUCUGUAAUGGUGAAAAUGGAGUCUCUGCUGCUCACCAGUUUUCUGAUCAUCAUCAUCAAGUAUUAUCGGACAGCAUACUUUGUCUAAGAUCAUGAUCAUGAUCUUAAACAACCACGGAUUCCUGGUUGGUUUGCAGAGCAUUGUCCAAUUUGGCCAGUACAUUUCUGACUUUGGACAUCUCAGGAAAAAGAAAUCAAUGGACAAACAAAUUUAAGAAAACAAAGAAAGGAAAGUAGAAGACACGCAUAUAACUUUUCAGAAAAAGAAAUUUUGUUGACCAAACAACAUUCAUUUUGCUUGUCAUAUUUGUGGUAAGAUUUUUGCCAGAUUCAUAGAUUUUUUCCAUUUGCGUAGUCGUCAUGCACUUCUUUCAUCUCUUUUUUUGCCUUUUGGUUGUCAUAUUAAAUUAUUGGCAUUGAAUAAAUUUUGCCUUUAACUUUUUUGAGGACUUUCCACAGGUAGUUCAAUUGAUAUGGUGAUCCUCUAUGAUUUUGCAUAUUUGGUGAGCUGAAAGCUGACAAAGCUCAUUUAAGUCUUUGAAUUUCAGUUAAGGCCAAUGUCUUUAUGUUGUAUGUAAUGAACACAUUUCAAAAACUCAAGUGUUAUUUGAAUAAAAUAUCUACAUUUGUGUUGGAUUGGAUUACAUGGGCAGCAAGCAUGUUGAUAUGUCUUGCAAUACAAGAUUUUGAGUUAUAUA